AUACGGAGGGUGCAAGCGUUACUCGGAAUCACUGGGCGUAAAGCGCGCGCAGGCGGCUUGAUAAGUUGGAUGUGAAAGCCUACGGCUCAACCGUAGAACUGCAUCCAAAACUGUCAGGCUAGAGUGUGGGAGAGGAAGAUGGAAUUAGUUGUGUAGGGGUAAAAUCCGUAGAGAUAACUAGGAAUACCAAAAGCGAAGGCAAUCUUCUGGAACACUACUGACGCUGAGGCGCGAAAGCGUGGGGAGCAAACGGGAUUAGAAACCCCAGUAGUCC
rnacentral:rRNA from 1 species